GGAUGCGAUCAUACCAGCACUAAAGCACCGGAUCCCAUCAGAACUCCGAAGUUAAGCGUGCUUGGGCGAGAGUAGUAUUAGUAUGGGUGACCUCCUGGGAAGUCCUCGUGUUGCAUUCC
rnacentral:rRNA from 1 species